rnacentral:tRNA from 1 species
UCCUCAGUGGUACAAAUGGUUAAUGUGCUUGGCUGCUAACCAAAAGGCUGGUGGUUCGUGUCCACCUAGAGGCA